GUGGAUUAGAUACCCUGGUAGUCCACGCCGUAAACGAUGAUUACUCGUUUUCGGCGAUAUACAGUCGGAGACUAAGCGAAAGUGAUAAGUAAUCCACCUGGGGAGUACGAUCGCAAGGUUGAAACUCAAAGGAAUUGACGGGGGCCCGCACAAGCGGUGGAGCAUGUGGUUUAAUUCGAUGAUACGCGAGGAACCUUACCAGGGCUUAAAUGCAAGUUGAAUGAUGUGGAAACAUGUCAGUCUUCGGACAAUUUGCAAGGUGCUGCACGGUCGUCGCCAGCU
rnacentral:rRNA from 1 species